rnacentral:rRNA from 1 species
AACGCGAAGAACCUUACCUGGGCUUGACAUGCAGAGGAAAUUUUGGUGAAAGCCAGAACCUCCCGCAAGGGACUUCUGCGCAGGUGGUGCAUGGCUGUCGUCAGCUCGUGCCGUGAGAUGUUGGGUUAAGUCCCGCAACGAGCGCAACCCUUAUUGUCAGUUGCCAUCAGGUCAAGCUGGGCACUCUGGCGAAACCGCCUCGGAUAACGGGGAGGAAGGUGGGGAUGACGUCAAGUCCUCAUGGCCUUUAUGUCCAGGGCUACACACGUGCUACAAUGGUUGGUACAAACCGUCGCAAACCCGCGAGGGGGAGCUAAUCGGAAAAAGCCGGCCUCAGUUCGGAUUGAAGUCUGCAACUCGACUUCAUGAAGCUGGAAUCGCUAGUAAUCGCGGAUCAGAACGCCGCGGUGAAUACGUUCCCGGGCCUUGUACACACCGACGCGUA